AUUUUGAAAAAGAAAAACUUUAAUCAACUUAGAAAACAUUUCAAACAUUAUGUCGAAAAAAAUAAUGGACAGAUUUUUAAGAAGUCAAACUAAACGAUCACCUAAAGAUCAAUGUUCUUGUAGUAAACAGUUGAACCGGAUGGAAUGUUUCUUUCUGAUAGACAGCCAUCAUAUAUCUCAUAUAUAUAUAUAUAUAUACUCACAUCUGUGAGUUGACUGACUUACAGGACAAUAUAUAUAUAUAUCCCUUUAUAAAUAUAUACAUACUAAUGUAUAAUAUAUUUUUAAACAGAUUUUUAUAUAUUUCAAAUACAAAAUACUUACUCUUCUGGACCCCCCCCCCCCCCCCC